CAGCUCAGAUUGAACGCUGGCGGCAGGCCUAACACAUGCAAGUCGAGCGGAAACGAGUUAUCUGAACCUUCGGGGAACGAUAACGGCGUCGAGCGGCGGACGGGUGAGUAAUGCCUAGGAAAUUGCCCUGAUGUGGGGGAUAACCAUUGGAAACGAUGGCUAAUACCGCAUGAUGCCUACGGGCCAAAGAGGGGGACCUUCGGGCCUCUCGCGUCAGGAUAUGCCUAGGUGGGAUUAGCUAGUUGGUGAGGUAAGGGCUCACCAAGGCGACGAUCCCUAGCUGGUCUGAGAGGAUGAUCAGCCACACUGGAACUGAGACACGGUCCAGACUCCUACGGGAGGCAGCAGUGGGGAAUAUUGCACAAUGGGCGCAAGCCUGAUGCAGCCAUGCCGCGUGUGUGAAGAAGGCCUUCGGGUUGUAAAGCACUUUCAGUCGUGAGGAAGGUAGUGUAGUUAAUAGCUGCAUUAUUUGACGUUAGCGACAGAAGAAGCACCGGCUAACUCCGUGCCAGCAGCCGCGGUAAUACGGAGGGUGCGAGCGUUAAUCGGAAUUACUGGGCGUAAAGCGCAUGCAGGUGGUUUGUUAAGUCAGAUGUGAAAGCCCGGGGCUCAACCUCGGAAUUGCAUUUGAAACUGGCAGACUAGAGUACUGUAGAGGGGGGUAGAAUUUCAGGUGUAGCGGUGAAAUGCGUAGAGAUCUGAAGGAAUACCGGUGGCGAAGGCGGCCCCCUGGACAGAUACUGACACUCAGAUGCGAAAGCGUGGGGAGCAAACAGGAUUAGAUACCCUGGUAGUCCACGCCGUAAACGAUGUCUACUUGGAGGUUGUGGCCUUGAGCCGUGGCUUUCGGAGCUAACGCGUUAAGUAGACCGCCUGGGGAGUACGGUCGCAAGAUUAAAACUCAAAUGAAUUGACGGGGGCCCGCACAAGCGGUGGAGCAUGUGGUUUAAUUCGAUGCAACGCGAAGAACCUUACCUACUCUUGACAUCCAGAGAACUUUCCAGAGAUGGAUUGGUGCCUUCGGGAACUCUGAGACAGGUGCUGCAUGGCUGUCGUCAGCUCGUGUUGUGAAAUGUUGGGUUAAGUCCCGCAACGAGCGCAACCCUUAUCCUUGUUUGCCAGCGAGUAAUGUCGGGAACUCCAGGGAGACUGCCGGUGAUAAACCGGAGGAAGGUGGGGACGACGUCAAGUCAUCAUGGCCCUUACGAGUAGGGCUACACACGUGCUACAAUGGCGCAUACAGAGGGCAGCCAACUUGCGAAAGUGAGCGAAUCCCAAAAAGUGCGUCG
rnacentral:rRNA from 1 species